AAGACGGUUGCGGGUAGGGCUUCGGCGUCACCCGUGAUGAUGCGUCGCGCGGGAUCUCGGCUGAUGCGCACGGGCGCAACCGACCCGUCUAGAAACACGGACCAAGGAGUCUGACGCGUGUGCGAGUACYAGAGUGGCAAGCUCGAGUGCGCAAUGAAAGUGAAGGGCGUGCCCCGUCAACCGAYCUUGAUCUUCUGUGAAGGGUUUGAGUCGAGCACAUCUGUCGGGACCCGAAAGAUGGUGAACUAUGCCUGAGGAGGGUGAAGCCAGAGGAAACUCUGGUGGAGGCUCGUAGCGAUACUGACGUGCAAAUCGUUCGUCGAACUUGGGUAUAGGGGCGAAAGACUAAUCGAACCAUCUAGUAGCUGGUUCCCUCCGAAGUUUCCCUCACGAUAGCUUGAACGCCGACGGUUUUGUCAG
rnacentral:rRNA from 1 species